rnacentral:misc_RNA from 1 species
UUGAUUAUUCAAUAUUUGACUCGGACGCAUGGAUGCAGGGUUGACGGUCCACCGGGGGCCCCGGCCGGAAGGCCGGGUCGCCCCCGAGGCAACUGGGUCGGAUAACAUGGGGUUGGAGGUCGGGCCCGGGGGCCCUUGCUCGGUAAUGAUCCCUCCGCAGGUUCACCUACGGAGA